rnacentral:rRNA from 1 species
UACAGAGGGUGCAAACGUUGCUCGGAAUUACUGGGCGUAAAGCGCGUGUAGGCGGUUUUAUAAGUCCGACGUGAAAGCCUGGGGCUCAACCCCAGAAGUGCGCUGGAUACUGUGAAGCUAGAGUCCUGAAGAGGAGAGCGGAAUUCCCGGUGUAGAGGUGAAAUUCGUAGAUAUCGGGAGGAACACCUGUGGCGAAGGCGGCUCUCUGGGCAGGUACUGACGCUGAGACGCGAAAGCGUGGGGAGCAAACAGG